AUUGAACGCUGGCGGCAGGCCUAACACAUGCAAGUCGAGCGGGGUUUUCGGACCUAGCGGCGGACGGGUGAGUAAUGCGUAGGAAGCUACCCGAUAGUGGGGGAUACCAGUUGGAAACGACUGUUAAUACCGCAUAAUGUCUACGGACCAAAGUGUGGGACCUUCGGGCCACAUGCUAUCGGAUGUGCCUACGUGGGAUUAGCUAGUUGGUGAGGUAAUGGCUCACCAAGGCGACGAUCCCUAGCUGGUUUGAGAGGAUGAUCAGCCACACUGGAACUGCGACACGGUCCAGACUCCUACGGGAGGCAGCAGUGGGGAAUAUUGGACAAUGGGCGCAAGCCUGAUCCAGCCAUGCCGCGUGUGUGAAGAAGGCCUUCGGGUUGUAAAGCACUUUCAGUAAGGAGGAAGCGUUGAGUGUUAAUAGUACUCAGCGUUGACGUUACUUACAGAAGAAGCACCGGCUAACUCUGUGCCAGCAGCCGCCGUAACAC
rnacentral:rRNA from 1 species